rnacentral:lncRNA from 1 species
GACAUACAGCCAGGCAGCACACGACAAAGUAUUUUAGAAUCUUUGUGUGUGCUUAGGAAACGUAUGAACCACUGUGUAUACUAAGAACAUUUCAAGUUUGCUGAAGAAACUUGUGAAACUUAUAACUGUUCCAGUACGUCAGUGUCUCCUUCAUCUCCCUACACUCCCCGUGUUCUAGAAGUCGAUUAGUUCUGGUCCUGUGGCCACCUGAGUCAGCACCUCUCCUCCUGGUACAAAGGUCUCUCUCCGAUCAGAGACAUCAGCAUCAAGCCCGUCUGUCAGUCUGGACUCCAUCACAUCAUCUUAAGAGGAUGUCUUCCUUAAUUGACCCCCAUAAACGUAACGGACAUAUACCAGGAGCUGUGCCAGGCC